rnacentral:SRP_RNA from 1 species
GCUGGGCGUUGUGGUGGGCGCCUGUGGUCCCAGCUACUUGGGAGGCGGAGGCAGGAGACUCGAUUGAGCCCAGGAGUUGGAGGUUGCUGUGAGCUGUAAUGCCACGGCACUCUGCCCAGGGGGACAGCUUGAGGCUCUGUCUCAAAAAAAAAAAAAGAUCUUUUUUCAAAUAAAGCUUUUUCUUUUUUUUUUAAUUGUUGGGGAUUCAUUGAGGGUACAAGAAACCAGAUUUUCUUUUUUUUUUUUUUUUGAGACAGAGCCUCAAGCUGUCCCCCUGGGUAGAGUGCUGUGGCAUAGCUCACAGCAACCUCCAACUCCUGGGCUCAAGCGAGUCUCCUGCCUCCGC